GACCACUUUACUGGGGAGCCUAUUCCAGUGCCCAACCACCCUCUGAGGUGUUUUAUUCUGUCCACAAAAGAAAGGAUAGAUCUGCUUCAUUCAGUGUGAGUACUGAAAAGUAGCAGUGCCUGCUGUGAACUCUGCCUACUUCUCUCUGACAUGACUGAGAGAAUUUUGGAUGGAAGACACUCAAACCCUGUGUGAGGAAAAAACUCCAGCCUGAAACCUGUGAUAGAUCAGCUUUGAAGGAGAGGCAGCUCUCUCGUACUGCUACAUAGAAAAAGCUAUUCACUUUGUUUUCCUUUAUAUAUUUUGUUAGAAGUCUGGAGCUUAAAUUUUAAAUCAAGUCUUUGGGAACACACUGUGAAGCAGACCAUCAGUAUGAAUAAAAUAUGUUAGUAGGGACAUGUUGAAUUUAGUGUGACUGUUUGGCAACCUCUGUAUUGCAGUGAGGAAGUACUUAGUUGUGGCAAUGCAGA